CACACACACACACACACACACACACACACACACACACACAUCAAACUGAGCAUCCAAACGGUGGAACUACAACUCCCAGCGUCCAUCACGUGAUGCCGACUGGCGCAGAAAGACUUCCCCCCUCUGUGUGUGUGUGUGUGUGUGUGUGUGU